GGCUUAAAAGAAGAACGAAAGUGAUAUAAGUGUUCAAACAAAAAUUUUUGAUUACAGAUAAAUUAUUUUAUUUAUUGUCAUGAACAGUCGUCGAUUUUUGUUGUUCAUAAAAAUUCGCUUGAUCGGCUAAGCAUCGACACUUAGUAACAACUUUUGGCUGAUGAGCCAUCGACUAUCGCUUUUGACAAUUUGAUAAAUUUUUUACUGCGCUUGUGCACUGAAAUCACAUCAACUGAUUCUUAACCUUAAAGUUUUACAAUAAAUAAUCACUCUGGAGCCAACUGUGAAAACUUCACUGUGAAGUUAAAAAAGUAAGAUGUAUGUUGGGGAUUAAUUAUGUUUCUUAUCGGAAUGCUAAUUUAUUCAAAAUAAUUCAUAUAAUUGACUUUGACCUCUAGUUUAGUUUGUUUCACGAGCGCAACGAGUAUAACAAAAUAGGAAAGUUCAAAAAACGUGUAGAACUCGGUCAUGUAAAACAAUUUUCAGAUUGAAUAGUGUGAAUUAUAUAUCUUUUCUAUGUCCCGCCCUUAUUUACCACUGAAAUAUGAGCUUUCUUAUCACGAGUUUUGAAAAUUAUCAAUUGCGUAAUCUUUCAUUUAAUGAAGAUCUAACUACAUAUAUUAUAAUUUGCAGCACGUUUUAUUUAGAUAAUGUAUUCUAAUAACAAACGCAAGUUAGUGUGAUGAAGGGUGUCAUUCACUUUGAGUGGGUUUAAGCUGAGGUAUUGCAUAGAUCAAUGAGCCGCCGGGUAGAGUGGUGAGUGACAAGAUUUCUCAACGAUGAGUUUGUUAUUUUAUUAUGUUUCAAGUAGAGAUUGCAUUUAUUGGUUUUAAACUCUGCUCAAAUAAAAACAGUAGCAGUAGAUGUCGGCAACCACGCCUUAACAAUCCUUUGAAUUAUCUCCGUCUUUCUUGACUAAUUAACUACGCAUGGCAGUCACCAAAACAUAACUUUAAAAAUAUAACUUAUACAUCAAAUUCAAAGGAAUCUAAAACGCCGAGAAAAUAUGUAUGAAGAAUAACAAAAUUGUCAAGAUAAAUAACUACGACGUCAUAUUUUUUGUGAUCAAAUUUCGUGUUUGCUGUAUGCAAUAUAAAAAGAAGAUAAUUUAAUUUGUUAGAACUAAAAUUUUGUUAAGAAGGAAGAUACUCGUAAGAGAGGGGCGGUGCCGCGCAUCGCGAUGGCGUCUACUUCGAUUUGGUGUCACAUUUCCUAGAGGACGCCAUUUUCUCUCCUCCAACGCUUCCACCCGCUAUCUCAUACGAUGAUGCACCCUCUUACUUCUUGUACGUGUCUAAAGAGAAUUUGGCUCCAAAGUCUUAUCAAAAGGAUCCAGAGAUUCCAUUCCUGGUCUCCAUUGUCUCAAACAGAUAUGCUGUCGAAUCUUUCAAAAAAAAAAAUUCUUCUGCUUCUAUUUUAUUAAUCUAAUACUCGUUUUUAAAGAAGCAAAAAAUAUACUGCUAAGUCAUCAUUACUAUAUGUAUAAAAAUCGAUCAUUAAGAUUGCUAUAGAGAGAUGAAAACAAAAAACUACAAUAGAGAUCAAGAGAACAAACAUCACAAGCGACAAACAAAACUUCAAUCAUUGGAAUUCCCUGGGGAAAAUUUAUCGAGGGCGACGUAGAGAUAUGUAGAGAGGUGUAAAGCACUACCUAACACUUGAUGGAACGAAAGGUUUCAUGUUUCAUUGCUGCUGUACGUUUAAUUGCAUUCCAAAUUAGUUGUGUGAAAAAUAUCUACUUUGAUAAUCAAAACAGGUAUAGUGAUACUUUUUGUACUAUAAUAUUAUUUACUCAGUCUAU